AGAGUUUGAUCCUGGCUCAGGAUGAACGCUAGCUACAGGCUUAACACAUGCAAGUCGAGGGGCAGCAUGGUCUUAGCUUGCUAAGGCCGAUGGCGACCGGCGCACGGGUGAGUAACGCGUAUCCAACCUGCCUUACACUCUUGGACAGCCUUCUGAAAGGGAGAUUAAUACAAGAUGUUAUCAUGAGUAAGCAUUUUCGCAUGAUUAAAGGUUUACCGGUGUAAGAUGGGGAUGCGUUCCAUUAGAUAGUAGGCGGGGUAACGGCCCACCUAGUCUUCGAUGGAUAGGGGUUCUGAGAGGAAGGUCCCCCACAUUGGAACUGAGACACGGUCCAAACUCCUACGGGAGGCAGCAGUGAGGAAUAUUGGUCAAUGGACGAGAGUCUGAACCAGCCAAGUAGCGUGAAGGAUGAAGGUUCUAUGGAUUGUAAACUUCUUUUAUACGGGAAUAAACGAAUCCACGUGUGGAUUUUUGCAUGUACCGUAUGAAUAAGGAUCGGCUAACUCCGUGCCAGCAGCCGCGGUAAUACGGAGGAUCCGAGCGUUAUCCGGAUUUAUUGGGUUUAAAGGGAGCGUAGAUGGGUUGUUAAGUCAGUUGUGAAAGUUUGCGGCUCAACCGUAAAAUUGCAAUUGAUACUGGCAGUCUUGAGUACAGUUGAGGUAGGCGGAAUUCGUGGUGUAGCGGUGAAAUGCUUAGAUAUCACGAAGAACUCCGAUUGCGAAGGCAGCUUACUGGAUUGUAACUGACGCUGAUGCUCGAAAGUGUGGGUAUCAAACAGGAUUAGAUACCCUGGUAGUCCACACAGUAAACGAUGAAUACUCGCUGUUGGCGAUAUACGGUCAGCGGCCAAGCGAAAGCAUUAAGUAUUCCACCUGGGGAGUACGCCGGCAACGGUGAAACUCAAAGGAAUUGACGGGGGCCCGCACAAGCGGAGGAACAUGUGGUUUAAUUCGAUGAUACGCGAGGAACCUUACCCGGGCUUAAAUUGCAACUGACUGAACCGGAAACGGUUCUUUCUUCGGACAGUUGUGAAGGUGCUGCAUGGUUGUCGUCAGCUCGUGCCGUGAGGUGUCGGCUUAAGUGCCAUAACGAGCGCAACCCUUAUCGAUAGUUACUAGCAGGUCAUGCUGAGGACUCUAUUGAGACUGCCGUCGUAAGAUGUGAGGAAGGUGGGGAUGACGUCAAAUCAGCACGGCCCUUACGUCCGGGGCUACACACGUGUUACAAUGGGGGGUACAGAAGGCAGCUACACGGCGACGUGGUGCUAAUCCCGAAAGCCUCUCUCAGUUCGGAUUGGAGUCUGCAACCCGACUCCAUGAAGCUGGAUUCGCUAGUAAUCGCGCAUCAGCCACGGCGCGGUGAAUACGUUCCCGGGCCUUGCACACACCGCCCGUCA
rnacentral:rRNA from 1 species